GACGAACGCUGGCGGCGUGCUUAACACAUGCAAGUCGAACGGAAAGGCCCUGCUUUUGUGGGGUGCUCGAGUGGCGAACGGGUGAGUAACAAGUGAGUAACCUGCCCUUGACUUUGGGAUAACUUCAGGAAACUGGGGCUAAUACCGGAUAGGAGCUCCUGCUGCAUGGUGGGGGUUGGAAAGUUUCGGCGGUUGGGGAUGGACUCGCGGCUUAUCAGCUUGUUGGUGGGGUAGUGGCUUACCAAGGCUUUGACGGGUAGCCGGCAUGCGAGGGUGACCGGCCACAUUGGGACUGAGAUACGGGCCGUACUCCUACGGGAGGAAGCAGUGAGGAAUAUUGCACAAUGGGCGGAAGCCUGAUUCAGCCACGCCGCGUGCGGGAUGACUGCCUUCGGGUUGUAAACCGCUUUCGGCUGUGACGAAGCGUGAGUGACGGUAAUGGGUAAGGAAGCACCGGCUAACUACGUG
rnacentral:rRNA from 1 species